rnacentral:ncRNA from 1 species
GCAGAGGCUGAGUCAGCCUCCCGGACGAGGGGCGCCGUACCCGGUCAGCGACAAGACGGCCCGGG